rnacentral:rRNA from 1 species
GACGAACGCUGGCGGCGUGCCUAACACAUGCAAGUCGAACGGGAAGGUCCUUCUUUUUUGGGGGCCUCUGGGUGCCGCAUGGUGAUCUACCCGUUAGUUACCUGCCCCUUACUUUUGUUUAACCUCAUGCAAUUUGGUCUCUUCCCCGCUAAGAUCUCCCGCUGCGUGGUGGGGGCUCGUAAGUUUCGGCGGUUGGGGAUGGACUCGCGGCUCAUCAGCUUGUUGGUGGGGUAGUGGCCUACCAAGGCCUUGACGGGUAGCCGGCCUGAGAGGGUGACCGGCCACAUUGGGACUGAGAUACGGCCCAGACUCCUACGGGAGGCAGCAGUGGGGAAUAUUGCACAAUGGGCGGAAGCCUGAUGCAGCAACGCCGCGUGCGGGAUGACGGCCUUCGGGUUGUAAACCGCUUUCGCCUGUGACGAAGCGUGAGUGACGGUAAUGGGUAAAGAAGCACCGGCUAACUACGUG